GAUUCAUUUUGUAAUUGCUGUACUAAUAAUGCUGACCUCGUUAAAAUCGAUGCCAUAGGUACUUGUGUGGGAGAUCUGUCGGGCUACAGGUCUAAUUAGCUGGUUACUUAAAGUACUGUCAACAUGGGGUCUGUUUAAAACAGCAACAAAAAAAUCUGAAAUACGUGUUUGUCUGUACUAGGAAUGGAUACAUUGGGAAACUGAGUCUUGUUGCUUUCAGGGCCUGCUAGCUGCUUUUCAUACUGUUCUUUGCUUAGUGGAGAGAUCUUUCUCCUGCCCUUCCAUGCACAAUUACAUGUUUACAUGGCACCCAUACGGAGCAUUCCUGGGAGGAAAACAGGAGAGUGUAGAGGCAGUUCUGAGCACCUGCUUUCCUUCUUCCCCAUCUUCUAAUUGCCAUAGGACAGGAAUUGAGGUUCAGGGAGGUAGUGAAGCAUCUCUUCUUACUUUAAUUUUUGUUUAAAUAAAAAACCAAAGGUUAAACCAUCAGGUUUUUUUAUCAAACCUUGUCCACAGUCCUUUGCAGCAUGUUUUUCACUAUUCCUGGCUGCUUGCAAUAUAGUAACUUCCUAAACCCGAUUUUAAUAGAAGACUUUCAAGACAGAAGGUGACAGAUGGUUGGUUGGAUAUUUUCUUUUUUUAAUGGGUGAGAUGAGUUUUCAAGGCAUACUGAGCAAGGUGAGCUCAGCUUUCACUUAAAAGGCCAUGCUUCAUUCAAUCCCUGAGUUUCGCAAUCAGACAGCCAGUGAUUUCUCAAAGCCAGUUUUAGAAGCAGGUUGGCAUCUAUCUUGCUGUCACCUUCAGAGACCUAAAGAAUAAUAUUGUCUCUGCAGAACUGUGCUGCCAAGAGCCCAGAUUUCAGUGUGUUUGUUCUGGGCAGCAUGGACAGGCUCGGCGCCUACACAGGAUUCCCUGCCUGGUUACUAAAAACAGCUGGAAGCACCUAAAUUUCAUAAAAGAUGUUCUGAGAAAACCAGUAUGAGCAGAGAUAAUGCUUCCCCUUGGAGAAGGGGAUGAAAGUGGAAGAGCCUUUAAAGAAUACCUGCCUUAAUCCGUGGUUGCUCAGGAGAGCAGAGGGAGUCUACACAAGAUUUGUUUGGUAUCUGAGCAACCAGUUUCUAAAGCAUCAAAUCCUAAAAAGGAGGCAGGAAAGACUUCUUUUGAUUCUGGAACAAAGGACUUCCGAAUACCCUCCAAACCAAGCUCUGUGUCCUUGGUUUGGUACAGUACAGUGCCACUUCCCAUGUAUGAACUGCAAAUGCUGAAAAGGUGAAUAGAUGCAGAUCCAGACUAACAGCUGGGACUUGUUACCUCCCAGAGUGAGUGCUCAGUGCUGCUUAGCACCCUCUGAAAGGCACAGCAUUUGCUAAGCAGAGCUUUUCUUUCUGAAUUGGAGGUGGGCAGAACCAGGCUCUGUGUCACUUCUUCCCUCUUCUGCUUGACUCUAGCUUGGAAAAUUACUCUUUCACUAUCAGGGCCAGCAAAGCAACUCACUUCCCCUUUUUUCUCCUCCCCUCAUUCAGCUGAAGUGGAAAGAGGAUGGGAACACAUCAGAGUCCUGCUGUUUGAGCAGAGCGUUGUGGUUCUCCUUGUAGCCCCAGGGGGCUUAGCUGCACAGCAGAGAGAAACACCUGCCUGGUACCAGCAAAAAUGCUGUUUGCACGUGCAGCAUGGACCAUUGCAGGACAAUGUCUGCUGCUAGCUGGCUUGUGUUGUGAGUGCCUGUGAGACUUGAGGAUUUAAAGGCCAUUGCAGGGCCAUAUUGAGCCAGAGACCUCCGGUGAUAAGAAUAUUUGCUGAUAUUACUGAUAAGAAUAUUUACUGAUGUUACUGAUAAGAAUAUUUGCUGAUGUUACACAGAAAAAGCUCGAGCUCAGAAGCUGAGAUUUAACUGCUCUGUGUCUCUCUAAAUUGGAAAGGGGGAGUAGAUGUGAUUUGAGUUGGUUGUUAAUCAUGUGGGCAGUGGCUCAGUACCACAGGCACAUUGUUACUAGGCAUAUCUAAGCCCUUACGUAAGCACAGCUGAUACCGUGUGGUACCAAAGAGUUAGGACCUCAGGUUCUCGCAUUAUUCAUGAUAAAAGUGUUGUGGUGCUUGGCCCCACUGUCUGCCUUGCCAUGCUGUCUUCCCAAACCCCCAGCUGCUUCCUACUGUGUGCUUCCACAGAGGCCUGAUCUCACUGGGGAGCUGGGUCUUACCCAGUCCCUUCAGCAGUGAAGGAUAGAUGGAUUCUCUUUGCCCAUUACCAUGCUGGUAGUGUGCUUUCCCUGCAUCCUGAGACCAGGGGGAUAGAAGGGGUCUGUGGCAGACAGGAGUCUUUGGACAGGCUGUGCUGGUAGAAAGGACUUUAUUCCUGAGAGAAAGAAUGGAGGGUGGAGUGCCUCCCACUGCACACCCAGUCUUGGAGUGACAACCCUCAGGAAGAGUCAGUCUCAUAGAGACCAGACUGACUGGAGCAAAGGAUUAUGAGGAGAUACACCUUGAGUCUUUCACCUAGAGCACGAUGGCUGAUGGGAUGAUAGGCUUGCUGACCUAUCGUGAAGGUUGGGAUGAAGUUGCUGGGUGUGAACUGGCCAUCUCUGGCUGGCACGUUGUACAGAGCUCCAACACCACAGCCAGCGUUCUCCAUACUGAAGGCAGCCUGGGUGAUAUGUAGCUGGCAUUUCACUUCGAAGGAAAUUGUCUGGGUUUAUCCUUCAAAAUGUUCUACCUGAUGAGUGACUCAGUGAGUGACUCACCUGGUCUGCCCUUGCAGCAGCUCGCAGCUGUCACAGGAGGUGUUUUUCUGCCAGGGUGUUCAUGGUCUAACCACAGCCCUGGUGCUGCUACUGGCAGGGAAAAUGAGGUGGCAGCAAAGCUGAGUCAAACCUUGGGCAUCUGAAGGAGGAGGCAAACCCAAGGGAGUGCCAAGCCCUUCCCAAUGGCGUGUGAGUGUUUUUCCCAUUGCUAGUUCUGGGAGCUCUGCAAUGACUCUGUGGCCCUGCGGUGCUCUCAGCAGUUUUUGGAGGCUCAGGGUCCCCAGGGUCCCAGCCCCACUCCUGCUGGGCAAGGCUGCAGAUGUGUUACACAGAGUGAUGUGCCCAUCUCCUCACAGAAGCAGUGGGCAAGCAGUCACUUCGGUCACCUUCUUUACUAGUUUGGGACUUUUAUCCAGCCUGCCUUUGACCACAGCCCUGACCGAGCAUGUCAUUAACAAGAAACUGAAAUCAGUUUGAGUCUGCAUCCCUCUUUCUUGUCACUUUGAGUCACUAACCAUCAUUAGCUUUCCUUAUUGCAGGAGUUGGAGAGUGCAGGAGAGCAUUAGCAGAUGGUUUUGGAGGAAAGCAUGUUCAAAAACUCAGCUCCUCAAGGGACUUCAUUCUCUCUCUUACUGUGAAUUAGAAAUUACUUAUCCAUUUAGGCUUUGCUCUAAAACGCUGCUGCAAACAUUGUCAGGGAAAUGACAUCACAUGAAAAACAAGAGUGUGAUGUAGUAUGUGUUUACUACAAUUUACUUGCCCUAUUAAAAAGAAAACCACUAGUAAUUAUAAAAUAAAGCUUGAAUAUUAAGAGCAUGAUGGCAAAAAAACACCCCUUACAUCAAAACAGUAAUUACCACUGGGGCUGGAACAAAGGAGCAGAGGGACAAUUUUGGGCAAAGGAGCUUUGCUGGCUGAGAGAGAAGAUGGGGCUGCCCAGUCUUCCAAAUAGAGUCAGGGUCUGUGGACACUGCCUGAUUACUGGUGGGAGCACAGAGAGUUGGCCCUCAGAGCCAUGAUGCUGUGGGAGAGGAGCCGUGGUGCUCGUGGCAAAGGGUGCAGGAAUCAGUGAGCCAAGUAGCAGGGAGGGCGCUGCCCUCGGAGCUGGAAGCUGCUCCCUGUCCUGGCUGAGGCAUGCAGCCAAGUGCUUUCUGCCUGGAAGUCUCUUUCUCUUCCCUUGGCCUCCUUCCACUGCUUUCCACAGGGGACCCUAAGGGAAGAACUUGGCUGGCCCCAAUGCCUUGUUCAUCUCCUUCUUCAUAUCCGUGGAGCUUAUUGCUGUUGUGUUUGCUUUAGCUGGGGAGCACAGGGAAGGGGAGACUGGCCCAUCGUCUCCCUUCACAUCCCAGGUGUGCAGGUAUCUUGCCGUGGCUCCGAAUGGGUUGCAUCAGGCCUGAACUGGGGAAUUGGGCUUUUCAGGCCUAAUAUCCUCUCCUGAAGGAGAAGUGCUGAUUUGCACUGUUUCCCAUUAGAUUUGUAGUACAGGGAAAAUAACUUUACAAUGGCUGGUGUGACUGGAGCUCACCCACAGUCCUGACUUACUGGCUCAGACUUGCUGAAACGUUGCUCGCAGAGCUGAAGUCCAGGUGUGGGACAGCUCAAAGUCCUUCUCUGCCUUCCCUGCUUCUUUGAAUUGGGUCUCUGCCUCUCUCCUUGCUGACUCAGAUCCAGUUUGGUCCAUUCUCGCAUUUGCAUUAGGAAAUUAAUAAUUUCUCCUACAGAAUAAGGAGGAAGGGUUGAUGGCAGGGGGUGUUUUGGGGUUUAGGGACAGAUGAGAUUGAGGUUAGCUGGAUGGGACCUUUGCUUGGCUCAGCCACAAGUUCCGCAAAGAGCCUUGGAUGCUUCACAGUUUAAAAAUCUAUAAAAUAGGGUUGAAUUUAAAGUAGAUGCUGUCGGUCAGUCAUGUGAUAAGCCCAACAUGGGAACUGCUGGCCUGCAUCAUACACAAUUGAGAUUAGAUGACUGGACUCUUCUGGCUAUAGCAAUAAUUCCUAAGCAUAAUGAGUUCCUCUUUGUUUGAGGAUUCUAAAGAUUUGCUUUGUUGAUUUAUGUGUUUUGUUUUUUUCAUUUAUCGACUAAACCGCUGGGCAAAGAGAUACCAGUAACUUCAGAGGUCAUCAGGGCAAGUGGGGACAACCUUUCUACCCCAGCUAAACUUGGAUUCAUUUCUUGUAGAAGCAGUGAGGAUCUCUGAUUUUUUUUUGCAAACUGUAUUUCUAUUUUCUGCUAUGACUGCUGAGUUAGGUUUUGUGAGGGAGCUCAGCUCCUUCUGCUCUUGUGCUACACAUGCAAAUGUACCUGCACAGUGGAAAGAGCAGGAGUAAAUCAGUGCAAGCAGCAGCCUUGCAGCACCAUAGAUGUGAUUCUUGUGCAUGAUAAUAGAGGACAGUUUGAUGUGGUCUGAGCGAGUCAUAAGCAGAGCUUCUUUUUCACAUGUUGUAGGCAGAGGAGGAAAGACUGCUGAAGCCAGGCUGGGAAUUAAUGGUGGUGUAGCCUCAGACAGGUGCUGACACCAAGCAGUGAUGGGAAUACUGCCACCAACCUAGGUGUUAUGAAAGUUGGUUUGCAAGAAUUUACGAUGUUCUUUAAAUAUUGAGCACAUGGCACGGGUGCCUUGUUUGCCCAGACGGGAUGAUGCAAUGCACAAUGAUCUGCUGAUGUCAAUAGAUUUCUUAUAUUGCAAGUCAAAAACCCAUAUGGCUUGAACACCAGACAUAGGACAAAUAGGGAUUAGGAAACAAACCUGGAACGCUGGCCCAUUUCUGCUACCUGUCUUUCCGUGCUUCUGUGCCAGAUCUUACUAUUUUGAACUUUAUUUUCAAACCAGCCUAUAAUUGCAGCCUUACCUAUGGCCAAGGCCUCUUCUCCUGGCAGGCCUUGUGCUUGGUUUCCUCCUUCAUUUUCUCCUUUACUUAAUGCCUGCCUCAGUUUGCAAGGCUUGUCUGCAAGGAGUCUGUUCAUUAACAGCCCCAUUUCUUUCCCUGUGAAGCUGUUAUGAAACCCUUACCUGUUUGCAGCAGAUAUUCUUUGUAUGGUCCUGAGUGUGAAGCUCAUGUUAGGCUUGAUAUUCCAUAACUGUGCAUAUUUGUGAAGCAAGUGAUUUUUCAGGUGUGCUUAGUAUUGGCAUCUUCUGCCAAAAUUAAGCACUGCCCACCUCUGGCAAUGCUCAUACCAGGCUGUGACCAUGGCAAGGACAAGGAUCCAGCUUGUAUGGCAGGACAGUAUAUCAGAGACAAAUUUUAUAGUAAGGGAUUUUUUAGACUGCUUAAACCACCUAGUUUUGUGUUUACAUAAGUUUGAAUUCUUUAACUACUUAAUAUUUUAGGUAAAAGAAGACUUAAAAAUCCCAAAUCCAUCUUUUAAAUGAGUUACUCAAAAUUACAGUAGACUUCAUCUCCUUCAGCAGACUCUAGACAGGCUAAACUUUGGGAGCAGCAGAGAGGAGUCAAUUGCAGAGUCAAAAUUAAAAGUAACUCAGUACUUCCUCUCUCCCCCUGCUUUCUGAAUGAAAAUGUUUCAGGCCUUUUUUACCUGUCACAGCAAAUAAAACCACUUUGUACUAAAAGGUGGGUCGUAUAUGAAUAUUUUGUUUUUAAGGUGCUUGAGCAACCCAUGGGAAAUAUUUAUUAGAUUUCAUCACUGAUGAUAGAAAGUAGUUUUCAUAAUAGAAAGCAGUUUUUUAGAGGACUGGCUGUAACUAAGCUUUUAAGGAAUGCUGGCUCUGUAUACUGCAUUACAUGCUUUUUAAAGCUUUUCCUACAGAUGAGUGAUUUGCCUUGUAUGCAGGUAAGACAGAACUGACCUUGCAGGUAAGACUUUUAAGUAUAUCUCCUUACCCCUGUGCUCUCAUGGUGUUAGGACUUGGUGAAUCUUCUUUCCCACGUCCUCGUGGCCCAGCUCCUUGGCUCUAGCACCACAGUCCUCUUCUGCAGUGACAUAAUCCCUGUCUACAUUUGCUUUAUUAAGCUUGUCAGUGGUGGUGCAACUGGCACUAAUUGGCACUUUUGUUGGUAGCCUUCUCCAAGAGAUGGAAAACUGAACAGGCUGUGGAGCCUGCACUCCACUGUGCUCCAAAGGUGGCAGAGGACAGAGACAUGCUGGCAGGUCAGUCUGAGGAAAGCUGAUGCUGCUAUUGCUUGAGGUAUAAACAAAGGGCUUCUGUUUCCAAAGCCAAGAAGCCUCAGCCUUUUUCCAAGCUGUGACUCUGUCUGAAAAACAAGCCUGGACCCAGUUGGGUGAGUGAUCCGUGUAGUCACCAGUGCAGUUUGCCCACAGUUCCUCUCAGCCCCUCCAGAUGAAGCAUCGCAGACAUCAGCGAGCCACACACAGUGAGCUCCGUCUGUGAUCUCCAGCAGAGCAAACCCCGGUGUGGGCUCAGCACUAAGUCUGACUUCUGUCCCAGAAUAACAGGAAGGGCAAAGCAGUUAGCUGGCUUUGGACCCAUCACAAACAUGUGGAGGGGAUCUGUUUUGUUUGUUGAAAUGAAUUACCCCAGGGCUGGUGGGAGGGCCAUAGGGAAUCACAGGGCAGCCUUUACCUCAAAUUCAUGUGUUGUUAAGGGCUCAUUUUAAGGUGCAGGAUGUCCCGCCCAGCCUGUCAUGCUGUUGCAAUGUGUAAUUACCCUCACAGCUUGGGAGCAGGAGCAUCUUCCAGCACUCAGUUCAACUAACCAACUCCCCACUGCUGAAUCGCAUUAUGUCUCUGUCAGCAAAGCUGAUAAACAUUUCCUCCCACCCCCAGCUCUGUCUCUUCCCCCACCUCACAACACUUUGCCAUGUGCAAGUUAGACCUGACUGCUUUACUACUUGUCUGUAAGUGGCUGAGGGAUUAGUUCUUUAGAUUUCUGUAUUUUUAUAAUCCACAAGGUAGCUGAAGAGAACAGUUAGAAUUGUUCCAUGCUUUCCAGCAAGGGACCUGAAUUUCCCAUGGUAAUUAGUUUAAGCAUAUAUCAGCUUGGUUUCUUGGGAAAAAAAGGAACAUUUGCUCUUCUAGGAAACAUUUUCAGUGCCCUUACUCUAAGAAUAGCAAUCUUUUUUCUGUUUCUUCUCAAAUUUCAGAAGUAUGGCUUAUCUUUUAUUGUGCUGCAGUAUGGAGAUUAUUUUAGAUUAAAUACCACUAUGUUCUGCUGAAGGAUGAACAGCUUAUAGUGCCUCAUUCUGUGGUUUUCUUUUUUUUUUUUUUUUUUUGCCUUUACCAAAAUUAAUUCACAAAUAAAGACAUUUGUGCCUUGAACACGGCCUCUUCUCUCUGAGCGCAUCAGUUCCUUGAUGACCCCAGAGGGAACAGCAGUGCUGAAAUAGUUCAAGCAGCAAACAACUCCUUGGCUAUGAAUUUAAGCACUGAAACAAAACCCUCCAGUUUCAAUGACAACUUCCAAGAACAGAGCCAAAGCUCCAGUGCUGUGGCCUAGGAGAUUGCUAUCAAUGCAGUGCCAGUGGAGCAGGCACAGCUCCCUACAAAGCACGCAGGGACAGUGCCAGUUCUACAGGGACUGCCUGGAAUGCUGUAGAGUAAAGGUUGCAAAGCAAAGAACUGAAGCUGUACCCUUUGCUUGGUCAAAACAGAAGUAUUGGAAGCAGGACAUUACCCUUAAAGGGCUUUUUGAUCUGGAGCAGCUGUGAGGGUGUUUUUUUUUUUGUACCUUGGAGCAUCUUAGAAGGGAUAGUUGGGGGAAGGCUGGAUAUCUAAGCUACUCCUCUGGUACCCAGAGUGGACAUGAAGACUGCUGCAGUGCUGACAGCUGAAGCUAAGCCUGCUGGGGAGUGGCAGUGGAGGGACCAGAAUCCACAAUCUAUCCAAAAAGCCAUGCUCUAGAGUCCUGGGCCCUUGCCAUACCUCCUUAAAUCCCUCUGGGAAUAGUAGAGAGCAGGCACAAGCAGGUUGGCCCUCCUGCUGUGUGUUACCCUCUUCACCCUGCAGCAAUCACACAGAGGGGCUCCAGGGUCCAGCCCUGCCAGGGCAGGAGCAAUUUUGGCCAGAGCACUGUGUGUACUCCAGGUCUUCACUGCCUGACAACAAGCACCUUGGUCCUCCAAGAGGAAUAGAGAGAACUUUAGAAGGAAGCCAACUGUUAUUUAUGCAUAUUUUAAAAUAUAUUUUGUUCACAUGCACAUCUCUGGCAGGCUUGUUUAGGGAAGUUGUAACAGUAUCUGGCAUCUCUCUGGUCUUGUGUACAAGAUGAGGAAGUUUUCAUCUGUGCCUUUAAAAAAAACCCGCAUCUCUGCCAAGAUGUAUUAGGAGAGCUGUAAAAAAGGAGUCAUCCUGUUCCAGGACGGCGAGGCUUAUGUAACAGGGAAAUCCUAACAAAAAGAUACUCCCCCACCCUGCACACGCUCUUCCAAGGCACAUGCCACUCCAGGGUUUUCAGUUGCUUGAUUUGUAUUUUGAUCACACCUGCCACUGGUUUAUUCAGAUGUAUUUACAAAUAUGUUCUUCCACAUACCCUCCUUUGUACAUGCUAUAGAACAUCUUUAUAAAAUGCAGCAUGGCCCUCACCUCAUCACAAGGGUCUUUAAAUAAAAUAUACUGUAAAGUGCCAGAUAUAA